CCAAGAAAUAGCUCUCUUUAGCUCUCACCAGAUCAAAUUAGGGGGCUGCUAAUUAUUGAGACACAGGACAGAGACAGGUAUUUGCAGAAUGAGGAAUGGAAGUGUUCUUAUUUUUCUGUCUCAACAGGCAGAAUAUGUACGUUUGUAUGGGGGAAGGAAUGGAGGGGAGAGCAGGAAGAUGGUGAGGAGAGAAUUUGUGUGAGCAUUUAGAAGAGCACAAAUGAAUAUCCGGUUGGAGAGAGAGAACUGGAUUAAUGUCUAGACCGAUGAAGCGACUGGCCUAUCAAUGGGAGGGCUUCUAUUUACCACAUCUCUCAGGAGUAACGAGGAACUACAAAGAGUAGACUACCGAACUGAAGUCCAUAUCAUGAAAAGUUACCUUGGACGGACAACGUGUCUGGAAAGAAGAGGUGACAAAUAUUGAAGAAGACUAGGCACAGACGUAGCAGUCCAAUGCAGACUUUCAACAAAAACUGAAAAACAUUAAUGAACAACAUCACAUCCCUAGAAGGCAGCUGGGAAUAACUGAAUGACAGCAGACCAUUGUCUAAAUCAGGGCAUCUGGUUAGCCUUCCCAUCUACAACUAUACAGACUGUUACUAAACUCAGGACAUCUACACCUCACUAAAAAGAACUGCUGCUGUGAUGCUCUGUCUUCACGCAUUACCAAACUGCACUAAAAAUAGUCUAAAUAAUUCAUGAAGAAGGUAGAUCAGGCCAAAGAAAACCUUUAAAAAUGGAAAAAGAAAACACCUUGUCAUUUUCUUCUGAGCCUUAUGACUCGAUCAUAUCAUCGAAUGAUUUUGGAGCUAAUUUUAACAGGCCGGGAGAAGGGAUGCCACGUUACGUUGCUAGGACAGGAAAUCGAUUGGAAAUCUCCAUUUUGCAAUCAGCAAACUCCAUUAUUCUUACUCUAAAUGGAGUCUGGUCUGAACCCUGGACCUCACAGUCAUCUCGCAAGCAGCAUAGAGUUUUGCCAGUAGAACCCACCGGCUGGCAUGGGAAGAGCUGAGGAAGAAUGAUUCCAGAGAGGAACAGAAAUCACUGAAUCUUCAGACUGCACUCCUGUGAACUAGCCUUGUCCAAUUAUGGAUCAGGUCUCUUUGUGGGGGCUGUGACUCCCCUUUUCAGAUGUUUUAGGCACCCAGGGACUCAGGCUUUUGGCUUCAGGGCUAUGGAGUACUCAAUUCACUUCCUUGUCUCCACCACCCACCCAACUGUAAAAUGGCCCUGAGGGAAUCCCUGUCCCUUUCCCUUAUUUGGCUCGGAGGAAGUACGCUGGGCACCAUUUUUAAUUGGCCUGGUACUGAGCCAAAAUUGAGGGGCCAAAUGAGACCCGAGGCUGAAACUGUUCAAGUUUCUCUGAAACUCUUCAGAGGUUGAAACUCUUCAGUGCAACUCUUCAGAAAUGAAGGGAGUUCUUUUCUGGGCAGUGAAGGAACACCAUGUAAUCUUGAGGGAAUCCAAUAGAGAUCAUUCAAGUUUCAAAUCAGGAACAUUUAGUGGAAGAUGGCCUGUGAAGAGCGCGAAUCAAUUUUGCAUAGUCUGCAGUCUGAAAUAAAGACGUUUACUGAA